rnacentral:misc_RNA from 1 species
GAUGAAGAACGUAGCGAAAUGCGAUAAGUAGUGUGAAUUGCAGAAUUCCGUGAAUCAUCGAAUCUUUGAACGCACAUUGCGCCUUCUGGUAUUCCGGAAGGCAUGCCUGUUCGAGAGUCAUUAACAACCGUUUCGAUCCCUUUCUUUCAGAAAUUACAAAGAGGAAAAGGGUUUGGUUAUGGUGGAGGAGGGAAAGGGAGCGUUUAGCCUGUAAAAAAAGAGGCUGUGUUCCGCCUCCCCCCCAAAAUUGUACAGGCGGUCGUGUGCGCCCACGCAUCGAGGUGUUGUAAAAGCUGCCACGGCACUUUUCACCUGUGCAGUGCGAGAUUGGCCAGCCGGUUUAAAAACCCCUCCAAACAAUCAAAGGUUGACCUCGGAUCAGGUAGGGAUACCCGCUCAACUUAAGCAUAUCAAUAAGCGGAGGA